rnacentral:tRNA from 1 species
GGUUCCAUGGUGUAAUGGUGAGCACUCUGGACUCUGAAUCCAGAACAGCCAAGCAGUGUGGCCG